rnacentral:piRNA from 1 species
GAGUGGAAGCCAAACCACAAGCGGAGC